GUUGCUUACUAGGCAGAGGGGGAUAGCAUGCUACUUUCAUACCUCCAUUUCCAUAUAUGGCAGAAGCUUAGCCGACUGCACACGCACAAAAAAGACGGAUUCUCCUUCUGGCCUGGAAGAAGCAUACAACGAUGUUGCAAAUUGCUUGUGAAAGGAUUUCUCCCUGUUGCUGAGGCUGGAGUUCAGUGGCUCUAUCUUGACUCACUGGAGCCUUCACCUCUGGGACUCAAGAAAUUCUUCCACCUUAGCAUCCUGAGUAGCUUGGACUACAGGGGAGUAAAGGAAAAGAGAUUUUGCCAUUCUCUUCAUUCUCUCGAAGUAUUCCCUAAGGGAGAAGAGCAAAUGAACAUGUAUGAACAAGUCACUAUGCUGCCUUUGCCCACGGAUGUAAGUAAGGACAGACACCUCUGUUUUCGGGCCCAAAUGUUGCAUUUUCCAAGACCACCCUGGUCCACCAUUCCCCCAUUCUGUCCCUACAAAAACCCAAGAACCUGGCGGGAACAGACACAGUGGAUGGACAUCAAGAGGAACACGCUGGCAGAAGAGCACACUGACAGAUGCCACAGAUCAUCGAUGGUGGAACGAUGUGGACACAGAAGGAAAUUCACCCAGGACAGUGGGAGGAGAUCCUGGCCACUGAACAACAGAAUUCCAGGGGAAGGCCACCUUCCCACUCCACCAUGCUUCUGGCUCCUAUCCAUCUUCUGAAAGCUUUCACCACUCAAUAAAACCUUGCACUCAUUCUCCA
rnacentral:lncRNA from 13 species